rnacentral:lncRNA from 1 species
AGCCAACUUAGAAGGGACUGUUUAAAUUGCUCAGAUACUAGAAAGCUGGGUAGAACACAAUUGUGUUGAAUUUGCAUUUUCGAUCUGUACAUUAGCCAUAUUUGCCAGCUCCUUAUCUGUUAUGAAGGCGGAGUGGAUGUGCUUUUCUUUGAGCAUGUGUUUCACUUGCCUUUUAUUGAGUCAAAGUUCUCUGGCAAACAGGAAUCCAUUCAAAUGUUACUGCCUGAUCCAGUAACAGUAACAGUAACAGUAACUCAACAGUAACAAGUUGAGUCUUGUCUAAUCACAUAAUAAUUCACCAAAUCCUCACAACAAUCACAGGAGACAGUCAACAGUAGCAUUUCGCAUCUAGGGACACUGAGGCUUGGAGAAGCUCAGGAACUUGUCCAAACUGCACACACGUCGUAAAAGUAACAGAGCAAGGAUGUGAAUCUGAUUAGCUCCACAUGCCUCUACCAUUAGCUCCUGGUGCCACUUUAGCAAACCAACUAGUAUAGUACAAAGUUCUACUGAAACUACACAUGAUAGUCUAACGUUUGCAACUUAAAUCCAAAAUAACACUUUUCUCCCCUUAUAUUCUGAGGCUGUAGUCAUCUAAUUCAUUUCUACAGAUCAGUAUAUUUCUAUCAUAAAUAUACUGAUGCCAACGUAGCAUCUAGGCAUGAAAAUGGAAUAUAUUGAUAUUACCUCGAACCACCCAAAUUGGGCCAGUGGAUUAAAGAGUACUAUGGCUACUUCCUGUCCUCCUGACCCUAUAUAAAGUAUAAGAAAAUAUCCAUGAUGACAUAUAUCCAACUCAUAGAUGUCUUACCUUUCCUUGAAAGCUCUCCGGCGCCUCAAGCUUAAACACAUAGAAGCCACAUGAUGCUGAAGACAAAUCAUAAGAAGACGGCUGGAGUGUGAGAGGGCUAUGUGUAUGGGAGCUGGGCACUGGGAACAAGGAGGCUGGGCCACAGUGGGCGUCUGGGAUGGGAGCUGGGCACUGGGAACAAGGAGGCUGGGCCACAGUGGGCGUCUGGGAUGGGAGCUCAUCACAGCACCUAGAGACAAGCAGAUGGCAACUGUGUGUCAGAACUGAAGUCUGCUGAGCCUGUUAGAGGAACUGCAGCCUGUUACAUGAGCCUGUUACUCCAAACAUACUUUGGAGUCAGAAGGUGGGCUGUGUGGGCCAGCCAUGGGGCACUCUUGCGAGAGGGCAGUCUUCUUAGUUAAUCCAAAUCUCAUCUCCAGCUAUGCUCCAGAGAGCCUGUGUGCUACCCUGAGUUAGAAUCCCGAGUUCCCAGUAAUGAAAACAGGAUGAAACGAUUGACGGACUUGGCUUUUCAGAAGCAUGCAGACUUCCCUGUAUCUGCCUGCUCGCUGCUCUCUUCCAGCGAGUCAGGAAAGCUAGAGGAUCAGUGUUCAAAGCAAUGUCUCCUGUGCC